rnacentral:misc_RNA from 1 species
GAUGAAGAACGUAGCGAAAUGCGAUAAGUAGUGUGAAUUGCAGAAUUCAGUGAAUCAUCGAAUCUUUGAACGCACCUUGCACCCUUUGGCAUUCCGAAGGGUAUGCUCGUUUGAGUGUCAUUGUACUCUCACACUCUCCAAUCCUCUGGAUCUGGGGAGUGGUGGACUUGGGCGUCUGCUGCUUGACUGUGGCUCGCUUUAAAUGGAUUAGUGCAACUCUUGGUUGGACAUAGUACGGCGUGAUAAGUGUCUUCGCCGGCACCUCGGAAGAGGGUGACUGAUUGAGAGCUCUGUGCUUCAAACUGUCUUCGGACAAUCUCUGACAACUUGACCUCAAAUCGAGUAGGACUACCCGCUGAACUUAAGCAUAUCAAUAAGCGGAGGA